GCCCCUGAAGCUCAGCUGAUAGAGCAAUCGAUUUGUAAUCAAAAGGUCCGCGGUUCAAAUCCGUGUGGGGGCACCA
rnacentral:tRNA from 1 species